GUAGGGAAUCUUCCACAAUGGACGCAAGUCUGAUGGAGCAACGCCGCGUGAGUGAAGAAGGUUUUCGGAUCGUAAAGCUCUGUUGUUGGUGAAGAAAGAUAGUGAGAGUAACUGCUCAUUAUUUGCCGGUAAUCAACCAGAAAGUCACGGCUAACUACGUGCCAGCAGCCGCGGUAAUACGUAGGUGGCAAGCGUUGUCCGGAUUUAUUGGGCGUAAAGCGAGCGCAGGCGGAAAGAUAAGUCAGAUGUGAAAGCCCUCGGCUUAACCGAGGAAUAGCAUCGGAAACUGUCUUUCUUGAGUGCAGAAGAGGAGAGUGGAACUCCAUGUGUAGCGGUGGAAUGCGUAGAUAUAUGGAAGAACACCAGUGGCGAAGGCGGCUCUCUGGUCUGUAACUGACGCUGAGGCUCGAAAGCAUGGGUAGCGAACAGGAUUAGAAACCCUAGUAGUCCC
rnacentral:rRNA from 1 species